rnacentral:rRNA from 1 species
AAACAACUACGAGUGAAAACUUAAAACUUAAAAGACUUGACGGUACUUCACCCAACCUAGAGGAGCCUGUCUACUAACCGAUAAUCCACGAUUAACCCAACCGAUUCUAGCCGCCCAGCCUAUAUACCGCCGUCGCCAGCCUACCUUGUGAAAGAAACCAAGUGGGCUAAACAGUAAUACACUAACACGACAGGUCGAGGUGUAGCUUAUGAAACGGACAAAGAUGGGCUACAUUUUCUAACAUAGACAAAACGAAUAAAGUUGUGAAACUAACCCAAAAGGCGGAUUUAGCAGUAAGCUAAGAACAUAAUACCUAGCUGAAACCAAUGCAAUGAAGUGCGU